ACCCCCCCCCCUCCCACCCACCCCACCCACCCACCCCUCCCCCACACCCCCGCCCCCUGCCCUUCCCGAGGGCAGCAGCCGUGGCCCGGAGAUAAGCGCUAGCGCGGCGCAGGGCUCUGCCUGGGCUAGUGGCACCGACUUGGGCAGAAACUCUUAAAAUCCUGGCAGCCAAGAGAGAAGUAACCUGGGGGAAAUGGACACAAGUCCAGGCAGUGAAGUGGGAUGCGCUGGGCUCAGGUACGUACUAGGAUGCCUAGAAACCCGGGUCUCCAGCUUUUCUAUGCCUACUUCAUAGUACAGACGGGGCAGCUCACUCACAGGAAAAGACAGAUAAAACUCUGACCCCAACACAAACCGACAUCUAUAAUGUUUUCUUCUCUAAUUAGUGGUAUGCAGGGACACUGAGCAAAGGAAAGGCCUGGGUGUGCCCCGCAAUACUGCCACAACUUUAAGGAGGAUGGUCUUUCUCUCUUCUAAUGCCUCCCUCCACUCUCCAGCGAACUCUGCAAGGGUAUGUGUGUGGCAAAAAGAGAAAUGGAGCUUUCAUGCAAUUCCAAGGUGUCAACGGCCAGUCCUUCUCAAAGGAAGGUGUUAAAAAUAUAAGUAGUAUGUUUAAACUGUCAGGGAGCCAAAGUGUCACCUUAAAGCAAAAACAAAGCCAAGGGAAAAGGGAGAAAUCAAAAAGCACUCCUGGCCAGGGUGGCCUCAUGCAUACCAAUGGUUUUUGUCAUUUAUGGCUGGGCAAGAUUUAUGACUCGGCGCCCCAAAGCUGUAAACAGAGCACAAAACAGCAAACACUUGCUCCUUAUGGCAUAUUGCGGCAGCGCAACUUAAAAGGGGGAGCCGGGCGGCGUAGGAGGUGAGAGCCGCCGCAAAAAUCGCUCGGCUGCAUUUUCUCUUCAAACUGGCCUGGUCGGAUGUGGCAUUUGAAGAAAGAAGGCGUGGGUCAAUAAUCAACCCGCACUUUCUCCUCCAAACUGCUGACACGACUCUCACCGCCUUCUCAGCUAAGCCAGCUGCAGGGAAGGCCAGCUUUCCGUGAGAACCUGCCAGGGGAGGGGACCGCCUGGGCCAAGAGGGCCGAGGGUUCCGAGUAGGAAAAGAAAACGCAGAGACCUGGGAAACGCGUGCUUUUCCCGUAGGAAAAAGAGCAGUUCCGCCCACCUAAAGGAACGGAGAAGACCCGCUGCCUGCGACGGUCUACACAUUCGAAAGGCAGCAACCUCCCUCUUGCCGCGGAAAGGCAAAAGGAUAGGAGAAACUGCAAGGCGGCGAGACAAGUUUCCUCAAGGCAGAUCUGUGACUGACGACCAUUCCCGAACUCACAGUCUCCGCGGGCGCCGCAAACAGUCGACAGGGAGCGCGGCCCACGCAGCGGCCGCCGCACCCGUGGCCUCUACUUGCUUCUGCCCUGCUGCUCGGUGUAGGGGUUUGUUUGGAGCUCGCUCGAAGAAACAAACACGCUCCUCUGACACCCCCGGCCGCCCCCGCACGCACAUCUUUGGUCUCUGCAACCGCCCCGCCUGCACAGUGCCUGCCGUUUUUCGGGGCAGACUCUUUGUCUGCCUGAAACCCCGCAUUCCCGGGGCGUGCAGCUCAAGAGAACCCAGCUCCAAAACGUCUCCGAGGUUAAAUAUUGACCAGAACCUCCUUCAAGGGGCUGCAGCUGCCUGGACGAGGAAACUCCUUCCAAAGGCCCGUGCAAAGCCCGGAGGAGUGAAGAGCUGGCGCAGCGCUUACCUCGAAAGAUGUUUAAGACUGAACCAGUGAUUGUCUCCAACUCCGGGCACUCAGGGAAUCGCCUUUUCCGGUGUCCUGGCGCUCUGCGGACAAAUAAACAGCAGAGAGUAAACGGUGGCUGCGAAGGAAGGGAGCUGGAGAACCGGAGUUGGAAGUACGGCCCUGCGCGGGCGCCAGGGUGGCCCCCGGGGUGACGCGGACACGGAGGAGUCGCCAGGGCACUCGUCCAUGAGGCGCACUCGUUGCUCGAAAGGGUCCAGUCUAAGAAUGGCCUGCAGAUGAUGAUUUAUUUUUGUAAAAUAAAUACAUACUCCAUCUCCGCA